ensembl:lncRNA
GCUUAUUAAUGAUCAGGCGUGUUGUCAGAUGCACAGUAUCAUCAGCGUCCCUGUCGCCGUUUGGUGAAAGGAGAGAACUCAACUAAGGAAUCAUUGGGGCGCCAACUAAACAUCCACCAUUUCAACUAGAGGUCAAAUCAUUCAGGUAGCCUAGUGGUUAGAGCAUUGGACUAAUAACCGAAAGGUUGCCGGAUCAAAUCCCUGAGCUGACAAGGUUCAUAGUCUGCAACUGUGAGAGCAGGCCCCCCACUUAGUGUAUUUGUCAAGCUGAGUUGGACACUCAGUAUUACAGGGUGUCAGUUUGUCAAAUACCCCAAGUGAGGGGUCACUUGUCUGCUGAGCAUCUCCCAUCAGACUAACUUCAAAGAAGAACACUUCAUUAACCUCCAAGUGACUUUCACUGUUAAGACUUUCUCAGAGGCAAAACAUUUGGAUUAUGUGAAAAUUAUUAUCUCCAUCUACUAUGAGUGAUUAUGUGCAAUUGUCUCAUGUAUUUUGUGUAAGUUUGUAUGAUGGAACUUAGUACACUGUGUAACAAAUGUGUGUCUCUGUAUUAAAUACUGCAUUAAAUACGUACUGGGUUAUAAAACAUUGAGGUCCCUAGUAUAUUUAUAGACGAUGUCUAUAGAUGAAUAGGAAUGAAUAGAAAUGGAAUUACGAUUUCAUUUAUAUAGAUAACUUUUCAUCAGGUUUCUAUGCACUUUAUGUAGGCCUGCAUUAUGUGUAAGGGUGACUGACCCACUACUACCAAUGUAAAGUCAUCACUGGGUGAUGCACAGGAACAGUGAGUGGUGGCACAUUGCUCUAUAAUUCUCAGCACAAUCAGUUAUGACAGGAAAUUAAAGGAGAGUUUGUGCUAAUAUGAAGCAGAGUCUAAACAUUGCUUCCAACUAAUUAAGGGAGAUAUAGGGACGAUAUAUCACUUAUUUAUCUUGCACUCUGUGCUUUUACAAGGCCUAUUAUUAUGGUCAAUAACCUGCCUUUGGAUACUUAUAUAAAACACCACCCUUUAUCUGUCAGUCCCACAUGCUUUCCUGUGCUCACAAAGCCAUAUGAGCUAGAAUAAGAGCGGAUGUCUGUGCUAUCUUGUGAUUAGAUAGCAGUGUGUGACUCACAUACUGCAUAGAAAUGGCGGUCAAAAAAGAUGUAGUCAUCACCCAUCAGUGUCAUGUGUCAUCAGUAACACUGAAUAUCGUUGUAAUUUACCGACAUGGUACCAAAACCACCCAAUAUGACUAUACUGUAUGUAUUUCCAUAUAGUAACUUUCCCAUUGUGAUUUCCUCUGAGAUUAGACUAAUUCAACCCCGUUGGUUGGCCUCAAAGGGAGUCUUCAAUCAGUCAGGGUAAAGGUAUACUCAGGAUUGGGUAGGUUACUUUCUAAAUGUAAUCUGUUACAGUUACUAGUUACCUGUCCAAAAUUGUAAUCAAUAAUGUAUCUUUUGGAUUACCCAAACUCAGUAAGGUAAUAGCCAAGCUUCCUGCCAUCCAAGACCUAUAUAAUAGGCGGUGUCAGAGGAAAGCCCAUAAAAUUGUCAGAGACUCCAGUCACCCAAGUCAUAGACUGUUUUCUCCUCUACCACACAGCAAGCGGUACCAAAAGGAUCCUGAACAGCUUCUACCCCCAAGCCAUAAGACUGCUGAACAAUGAAUUAAAUGGCCACCGGACUGUUACAUUGAACCCCCCACCGCCAUUUGUGUUGUACACUGCUGCUACUCGCUGUUUAUUAUCUAUGCAUAGUCACUUCACCCCUACCUACAUGUACAAAUUACCUCAACUAACCUUUACACCCGCACACUGACUCGGUUCCGGUACCCUUGUAUAUAACCUCAUUAUUGUUAUGUUAUUGUGUUACUUUUGAUAAUUUUUUACUUUAGUUUAUUUGGUAAAUAUUUUCUUAACUCUUCUUGAACUGCACUGUGGGUUAAGGGCUUGUAAAUAAGCAUUUCACGGUAAGGCAACACUUGUAUUCGGAGCAUGUGACAAAUAAAGUUUGAUUUGAUUACAUUCCAUUACUUUUAGAUUACAUGGGCUCUCAAGCCUACACAGGGCUCGAUGUGGCGCAGCGGUUUAAGGCACUUUGUGCUAGACCCUGGUUGGAUUCCAGGCUGUAUCAGGCCUUGGCCGUGAUUGGGCGGCACACAAUUGGCCCAGUGUCGUUAGGGCUUGGCCAGGGUAGUCUGUCAUUGUAAAUAAUAAUUUGUUCUUUAUUGACUUACCUAGUUAAAGAAAGGUUAAAUAAAAAAUAAAUAAAAAAAGAAUUAAGAGGCAUUAGAAGAAGACAUACAGUGGGGCAAACAAGUAUUUAGUCAGCCACCAAUUGUGCAAGUUCUCCCACUUAAAAAGAUGAGAGAGGCCUGUAAAUUUCAUCAUAGGUACACUUUAACUAUGACAGACAAAAUUAGAAAGAAAAUCCAGAAAAUCACAUUGUAGGAUUUUUAAUGAAUUUAUUUGCAAAUUAUGGUGGAAAAUAAGUAUUUGGUCAAUAACAAAAGUUUAUCUCAAUACUUUGUUAUAUACCCUUUGUUGGCAAUGACAAAGGUCAAACGUUUUCUGUAAGUCUUCACAAGGUUUUCACACACUGUUGCUGGUAUUUUGGC